rnacentral:tmRNA from 1 species
UCUCUUUAAAAGCGCGGCCUUUGACCCUAUAUUCCCCUUGUCGGACUUGUUCCGACUAUGGCGGUAAACUGGUUGUGUAAUAAACCCAUCGGACCCGGGGGCAGUACCCGGCGCCUCCACCAGAUUCCCUGCGAGUGCAGGAGCGUGUUGCCGGUCAGCCGGCACCAUUCUGGGGGCGAAACAGGAUCGACGAGGGCGUAAAGACUUCUCUUCUGCUCGGCAUGGUUCCGCCGUUAUCGGGCCGAUUCAAUAGUUGCCAACGACAACUAUGCUGAGGCACGUCUCGCUGCGUAAUGCAGUGCGACAACCUCUUUUAAGUCCUUGCCUGUAGCAGGGUAAGGCGGGGUUCGGAGGCACCUGGCAACAGAAGCCUCCACU